GGCGGACGGGUGUAGUAAUGCCUAGGAAUCUGCCUGGUAGUGGGGGACAACGUCUCGAAAGGGACGCUAAUACCGCAUACGUCCUACGGGAGAAAGCAGGGGACCUUCGGGCCUUGCGCUAUCAGAUGAGCCUAGGUCGGAUUAGCUAGUUGGUGAGGUAAUGGCUCACCAAGGCUGCGAUCCGUAACUGGUCUGAGAGGAUGAUCAGUCACACUGGAACUGAGACACGGUCCAGACUCCUACGGGAGGCAGCAGUGGGGAAUAUUGGACAAUGGGCGAAAGCCUGAUCCAGCCAUGCCGCGUGUGUGAAGAAGGUCUUCGGAUUGUAAAGCACUUUAAGUUGGGAGGAAGGGCAGUAAGUUAAUACCUUGCUGUUUUGACGUUACCGACAGAAUAAGCACCGGCUAACUUCGUGCCAGCAGCCGCGGUAAUACGAAGGGUGCAAGCGUUAAUCGGAAUUACUGGGCGUAAAGCGCGCGUAGGUGGUUUGUUAAGUUGGAAGUGAAAGCCCCGGGCUCAACCUGGGAACUGCUUUCAAAA
rnacentral:rRNA from 1 species